AUUGAACGCUGGCGGCAGGCCUAACACAUGCAAGUCGAGCGGAUGAAGGGAGCUUGCUCCUGGAUUCAGCGGCGGACGGGUGAGUAAUGCCUAGGAAUCUGCCUGGUAGUGGGGGAUAACGUCCGGAAACGGGCGCUAAUACCGCAUACGUCCUGAGGGAGAAAGUGGGGGAUCUUCGGACCUCACGCUAUCAGAUGAGCCUAGGUCGGAUUAGCUAGUUGGUGGGGUAAAGGCUCCAAGGCGACGAUCCGUAACUGGUCUGAGAGGAUGAUCAGUCACAUGGAACUGAGACACGGUCCAGACUCCUACGGGAGGCAGCAGUGGGGAAUAUUGGACAAUGGGCGAAAGCCUGAUCCAGCCAUGCCGCGUGUGUGAAGAAGGUCUUCGGAUUGUAAAGCACUUUAAGUUGGGAGGAAGGGCAGUAAGUUAAUACCUUGCUGUUUUGACGUUACCAACGA
rnacentral:rRNA from 1 species